rnacentral:rRNA from 1 species
UACGUAGGGUGCGAGCGUUGUCCGGAAUUAUUGGGCGUAAAGAGCUCGUAGGCGGCUUGUCGCGUCGGUUGUGAAAGCCCGGGGCUUAACCCCGGGUCUGCAGUCGAUACGGGCAGGCUAGAGUUCGGUAGGGGAGAUCGGAAUUCCUGGUGUAGCGGUGAAAUGCGCAGAUAUCAGGAGGAACACCGGUGGCGAAGGCGGAUCUCUGGGCCGAUACUGACACUGAGGUGCGAAAGCGUGGGGAGCAAACAGG